GGCCUCAAAUCAGGUAGGACUACCCGCUGAACUUAAGCAUAUCAAUAAGCGGAGGAAAAGAAACUAACGAGGAUUCCCCUAGUAACGGCGAGUGAAGCGGGAAGAGCUCAAAUUUGAAAUCUGGUGGACUUUGUUCAUCCGAGUUGUAAUCUAGAGAAGUGUUUUCCGUGCCGGCCAAUGUACAAGUCCCUUGGAACAGGGCGUCAUAGAGGGUGAGAAUCCCGUACUUGACAUUGAUCACCGGCGCUCUGUGAUACAUUUUCAAAGAGUCGAGUUGUUUGGGAAUGCAGCUCAAAAUGGGUGGUAAAUUCCAUCUAAAGCUAAAUAUUGGCGAGAGACCGAUAGCGAACAAGUACCGUGAGGGAAAGAUGAAAAGCACUUUGGAAAGAGAGUUAAACAGAU
rnacentral:rRNA from 1 species